UGCGGUGUAAAAUGAGCGUGCGUCCUAUUAGCUAGUUGGAGAGGUAAUGGCUCACCAAGGCGAUGAUGGGUAGGGGUUCUUAGUGGAAGGUCCCCCACACUGGCACUGAGAUACGGGCCAGACUCCUACGGGAGGCAGCAGUAGGGAAUAUUGGUCAAUGGGCGCAAGCCUGAACCAGCCAUGCCGCGUGCAGGAUGAAGGCUCUCUGAGUUGUAAACUGCUUUUGUACAGGAACAAAAAAAUCCCUGCGGGGAUUCUUGAGCUUACUGUAAGAAUAAGCACCGGCUAAUUCCGUGCCAGCAGCCGCGGUAAUACGGAAGGUGCAAGUGUUAUCCGGUUUUAUUGGGUUUAAAGGGUGCGUAGGCGGCUUAUUAAGUCAGUUGUGAAAUCCUAGUGCUUAACGCUAGAACUGCAAUUGAUACUGGUAGGCUUGAGUUAAGAAGAGGUA
rnacentral:rRNA from 1 species